rnacentral:rRNA from 1 species
GCCAGCGGCGAUAGCACGUUAAAAGCAUCGGUUCUGAAUGGAUCACUGAAGUUGAGCAACGUUGCGCGUGGUUAGUAUCCGGAUGGGUGACCAUCUGGACAAUCACGUGCUGCAUGCU